GCCCAAGUGGUGGAAUUGGUAGACACGCCAUCUUGAGGGGGUGGUGGGGUACUCCCCGUGCCGGUUCGAGUCCGGCCUUGGGCACCA
rnacentral:tRNA from 1 species